rnacentral:rRNA from 1 species
GUCCACGCCCUAAACUAUGAUUACUCGACAUACGCGAUACACAGUGUGUGUCUGAGCGAAAGCAUUAAGUAAUCCACCUGGGAAGUACGACCGCAAGGUUGAACUCAAAGGAAUUGACGGGGUCCGCACAAGCGGUGGAGCAUGUGGUUUAAUUCGAUGAUACGCGAGGAACCUUACCUGGGCUAGAAUGCGGUUUGACUGUGGGUGAAAGCUCAUUUUGUAGCAAUACACAGAUCGUAAGGUGCUGCAUGGCUGUCGU